GCUUCAGCGACCCUCUAGGACCAGUGUUC
rnacentral:piRNA from 1 species